rnacentral:lncRNA from 1 species
GAUAAUGUAAGAUGAACUUCUCCAAGCCGAGUUAAAAUCUUUUCACAAUCUUGUAUAUGAUCAACAAUAUAUUUGCGACACCCCCUCUUAUCUAAAGUUUCAUCCUUGUCUCCUUCUCUGCACCCUUUUAUAGGAACAUCAUCCAGAAAAGGCAUAGUCUUCUCCGAAAUAAAAUCUCUGAAUACCUUAUUCAUCCCAUUCAUCAUAUGUGCAACUGAG